rnacentral:rRNA from 1 species
CGGACGGGUGAGUAACGCGUGAGAAUCUGGCUUCAGGUCUGGGACAACCACUGGAAACGGUGGCUAAUACCGGAUGUGCCGAAAGGUGAAAGGUUAACUGCUUGAAGAUGAGCUCGCGUCUGAUUAGCUAGUUGGUAGAGUAAAAGCCUACCAAGGCGACGAUCAGUAGCUGGUCUGAGAGGACGAUCAGCCACACUGGGACUGAGACACGGCCCAGACUCCUACGGGAGGCAGCAGUGGGGAAUUUUCCGCAAUGGGCGAAAGCCUGACGGAGCAAUACCGCGUGAGGGAGGAAGGCUCUUGGGUCGUAAACCUCUUUUCUCAGGGAAGAACACAAUGACGGUACCUGAGGAAUAAGCAUCGGCUAACUCCGUGCCAGCAGCCGCGGUAAUACGGAGGAUGCAAGCGUUAUCCGGAAUGAUUGGGCGUAAAGCGUCCGCAGGUGGCAAUGUAAGUCUGCUGUUAAAGAGUCUAGCUCAACUAGAUAAGAGCAGUGGAAACUACAUAGCUAGAGUACGUUCGGGGCAGAGGGAAUUCCUGGUGUAGCGGUGAAAUGCGUAGAGAUCAGGGAGAACACCAGUGGCGAAGGCGCUCUGCUAGGCCGUAACUGACACUGAGGGACGAAAGCUAGGGGAGCGAAUGGGAUUAGAUACCCCAGUAGUC